CCUACGGGUGUCAGCAGUGGGGAAUAUUGCGCAAUGGGCGAAAGCCUGCCGCAGCGACGCCGCGUGAGGGAUGAAGGUCGUCGGAUCGUAAACCUCUGUCAGCAGGGAAGAACGGUCACUGUGCUAAUCAGCAGUGAAUUGACGGUACCUGCAAAGGAAGCACCGGAUAACUCCGGGCCAGCAGCCGAGGUAAUACGGAGGGUGCGAGCUUGAAUCGGAAGUCCUGGGCGUGAAGCGCUCGUAGGCGGUCUGUCAAGUCAAGGGUGAAAUCCCCGCGCGCAACGUGGGAACUGCCUUUGAAACUGGCAAACUAGAGUGUGUGAGAGGAUAGUGGAA
rnacentral:rRNA from 1 species